UGGUUCUGGCAUCGAUGAAGAACGCAGCGAAAUGCGAUAAGUAAUGCGAAUUGCAGAAUCCGUGAGUCAUCGAAUCUUUGAACGCACAUUGCGCCCUUUGGUAUUCCGAAGGGCAUGCCUGUUCGAGCGUCAUUAUCACCCCUCAAGCCCGGCUUGUAGUUGGUUGCGGCGGCCCCUACCGCCCUUCCCAAAGAUAAUGACGGCGUCUGUGAGGACUCCUGUACACUGAGCUUUCGGGCACGUACACGGCUAGAAAUCCAGGCCCGGUCGCCCUCGGCCCCCCUCGUUUUCGAGGGACCGAGAACCCCCUUUAUAUCAAGGUUGACCUCGGAUCAGGUAGGAAUACCCGCUGA
rnacentral:misc_RNA from 1 species